UUUUUUUGUUUGAGUUUGACAGGUGUUAAAAUACUGCUGGAACUGUCAAUAAAUAUUAAGCAAUAAUUAUUAUUUAUUUAACGCGAGUUUCAGGAUAGUUAUUACGAAUACCACUUAUUUAGAAUUUAAGCUAAGCAAAAAUGCGAUAUAUCCUCUAUUUCCUGGUAUACUCUUGCCUAUUAGUGGCCCUGUUCUCAACAUUCUUGUACCUGAUGACUGUGGUAGAUCCUGGCCUGCUGCAUCUCUCGGAUAAAGCCGCUAGGAUGAUGAAGACGAACAGAGAAGGGGUUCAAGCAAGUCGUGAUCAGUUGCCUUCAGAAAUGUACAUCGACUUUAGCGAGAUGUUCAACAGAAGCAGAAAUGUGGUCUAAUCUGCAUUUUACCGCAGUCGGUAGUAUGUUAAAAUAAAGUUUUUGAAUAAAA